AGUGAACGCUGGCGGUAGGCCUAACACAUGCAAGUCGAACGGCAGCACAGUAAGAGCUUGCUCUUACGGGUGGCGAGUGGCGGACGGGUGAGGAAUACAUCGGAAUCUACUUUUUCGUGGGGGAUAACGUAGGGAAACUUACGCUAAUACCGCAUACGACCUACGGGUGAAAGCAGGGGGUCUUCGGACCUUGCGCGAUUGAAUGAGCCGAUGUCGGAUUAGCUAGUUGGCGGGGUAAAGGCCCACCAAGGCGACGAUCCGUAGCUGGUCUGAGAGGAUGAUCAGCCACACUGGAACUGAGACACGGUCCAGACUCCUACGGGAGGCAGCAGUGGGGAAUAUUGGACAAUGGGCGCAAGCCUGAUCCAGCCAUACCGCGUGGGUGAAGAAGGCCUUCGGGUUGUAAAGCCCUUUUGUUGGGAAGGAAAAGCAGCAGGUUAAUACCCCGCUGUUCUGACGGUACCCAAAGAAUAAGCACCGGCUAACUUCGUG
rnacentral:rRNA from 1 species